AUUGAACGCUGGCGGCAGGCUUAACACAUGCAAGUCGAGCGGAGAUGAGGUGCUUGCACCUUAUCUUAGCGGCGGACGGGUGAGUAAUGCUUAGGAAUCCGCCUAUUAGUGGGGGACAACAUUCCGAAAGGAAUGCUAAUACCGCAUACGUCCUACGGGAGAAAGCAGGGGAUCUUCAGACCUUGCGCUGAUAGAUGAGCCUAAGUCGGAUUAGCUAGUUGGUGGGGUAAAGGCCUACCAAGGCGACGAUCUGUAGCGGGUCUGAGAGGAUGAUCCGCCACACUGGGACUGAGACACGGCCCAGACUCCUACGGGAGGCAGCAGUGGGGAAUAUUGGACAAUGGGCGGAGGCCUGAUCCAGCCAUGCCGCGUGUGUGAAGAAGGCCUUUUGGUUGUAAAGCACUUUAAGCGAGGAGGAGGCUACCUGGAUUAAUACUCUAGGAUAGUGGACGUUACUCGCAGAAUAAGCACCGGCUAACUCUGUGCCAGCAGCCGCGGUAAUAC
rnacentral:rRNA from 1 species